AUAAAAGUCAGUGUUCUCUUUAUAUAUAUAUCUUUUACGCAAUAAACAAUCAAGCUAGCUGGACACAAGUUUCAUCGUGUGCAUACCAGUAGACACGAAGAUUUGUACAUCAUAUGCCACCUCCAUUGGGAAAAUAUCGGUUGCAAGUUUUCAAUUGACCUCAAACUUUCUCAUGCUCUCGUUGUCCAUACCUGACCCGAGCUGUAAGAAAGUGACUCACGCGAGCUGAACACCUUAUAACGAGCUAUUCCGGAUAAUGAAAUCUUGAAACGUCGGUAUGUGUGUUCGAAAUAAUGAUAAUCAUCUCUCUCGAGCAAAUAGUGUUUUCCACAGAAUAUAUUGAACGAUCAAUAUACUGAAGGAAAAUAGUUGUAGUCAAAGAUCAUAACUUAUGGCCAUAAUGAGAACAAAACGUUAGUAAAAAUAAUAAUAACGUAUUACUCAUAUUGAUGAGCGGACAAGUACUAAUUUAUAUAUAGACUCUUAUUAUAGUAAACAUGUAAUAGUAUACAGAUAAAUGCGAAUCGUGGUCUAGUGAAACGGAAGUACCUGAAAGGUCACAUUGGAGAACACAUAACGACCACACCGACUCCAAUGCAUAAAAUAAGUAACGAUAAUGAAGUUAAACGUGAAAAUUGGAUUUAUAUACAAGGAUUAUAUUUUAUCAAUUUUAAUUGUAUUAAAACAAUGCAACUUAAUAAGACUCUAUUAAUGUAUUAUAUGUUUCAUUAUA